CGGAGGAUCCGAGCGUUAUCCGGAUUUAUUGGGUUUAAAGGGUCCGUAGGCGGAUCCGUAAGUCAGUGGUGAAAUCUCACAGCUUAACUGUGAAACUGCCAUUGAUACUGCGGGUCUUGAGUAAGGUAGAAGUGGCUGGAAUAAGUAGUGUAGCGGUGAAAUGCAUAGAUAUUACUUAGAACACCAAUUGCGAAGGCAGGUCACUAUGUCUUAACUGACGCUGAUGGACGAAAGCGUGGGGAGCGAACAGGAUUAGAUACCCUGGUAGUCCACGCCGUAAACGAUGCUAACUCGUUUUUGGGCUUUCGGGUUCAGAGACUAAGCGAAAGUGAUAAGUUAGCCACCUGGGGAUACGUUCGCAAGAAUG
rnacentral:rRNA from 1 species